rnacentral:rRNA from 1 species
GACGAACGCUGGCGGCGUGCUUAACACAUGCAAGUCGAACGGAAAGGCCCUGCUUUUGUGGGGUGCUCGAGUGGCGAACGGGUGAGUAACACGUGAGUAACCUGCCCUUGACUUUGGGAUAACUUCAGGAAACUGGGGCUAAUACCGGAUAGGAGCUCCUGCUGCAUGGUGGGGGUUGGAAAGUUUCGGCGGUUGGGGAUGGACUCGCGGCUUAUCAGCUUGUUGGUGGGGUAGUGGCUUACCAAGGCUUUGACGGGUAGCCGGCCUGAGAGGGUGACCGGCCACAUUGGGACUGAGAUACGGCCCAGACUCCUACGGGAGGCAGCAGUGGGGAAUAUUGCACAAUGGGCGGAAGCCUGAUGCAUCAACGCCGCGUGCGGGAUGACGGCCUUCGGGUUGUAAACCGCUUUCGCCUGUGACGAAGCGUGAGUGACGGUAAUGGGUAAAGAAGCACCGGCUAACUACGUG